rnacentral:lncRNA from 1 species
GUUAGUUCCAAACACAGAACUUCAGGAAGCUGCUGCCCUGAAUACUCUGGAUACCUGUACAUGUGCAUAAAACCUUACAGAGGAGGGAAGGGCUAUGAAUUGGAGGUGCAAUCAUUUGACAGAUCCAGGCAAUAGGGCAGUUAUUUGAUAACACAACUGUCCUGAAUCCACCUAAUGGAACAGCUUAAAGGUUUGAGUCAGUAAUAGGAACAGAGAGAGAGAGAGCCAUCUUGUGGAAGAUCACUUUACUAUCGUGCAGAUUUGGGUGCCAGACACUUCAGAAGCUAAUUCAGGAGACCUUAUUUUUGCAAUGAGAGACCUCAAUUACAAGUUCCAGCCUGAGAUGUGCAAAAUGCUUGUAAUGAAGCUGCAAACCAUGUGAAAGCAGUGACAAGAUCCUUUGUGUAGCAGAGAGGGGCUCCCGCUUCAAGCAGAAGAAAGAGAGCAGAGGGCAUCUUUCUGAUAAGAGCUGAUGAUGUGGGUCUAGGAAGGUCUGAGCUCUUGAUAAAGUGAAAAUGAAAGUGAUGCCUGAUGUUCCAGCUUCCCCUCCUGAGUUAAGGGGAUGAGCUACACUUUUCAACCCCUGUAUGAGGUAAGGGUCAACGAUUAGCACAAGACUAUCUGGUACCUUAAAUGCUGUAGUCAACAGGUGCUCUGAGGGUAUCAAAUUUCCAGUUAAUCAAAGGUGUUGAUCCUUUUAAACAUACUUGAUUUCUUUAUCAAUGGGAAACUUAGCAUUGAUUUAAAUUCUUUAAAGAUGUAAUUGUUCUUCCCCUGCCUUAAUUUGCAAAGGAUUUGUGAGAUAUGAAGUAGGGGAGAACAAAUUUUAUCCAGUCUAAUGUGUUUUUUU